AGAGUUUGAUCCUGGCUCAGAUUGAACGCUGGCGGCGUGCUUUACACAUGCAAGUCGAGCGGCAGCAUGACCUUCGGGUCGAUGGCGAGCGGCGAACGGGUGAGUAAUACAUCGGAACGUACCUUUUAGUGGGGGAUAACGCAUCGAAAGAUGUGCUAAUACCGCAUAAUCUCUGAGGAGGAAAGGCGGGGAUCACGUAAGUGACCUGUCGCUGAAAGAGCGGCCGAUGGUCGAUUAGCUAGUUGGCGGGGUAAAAGCCCACCAAGGCGAUGAUCGAUAGCGGGUCUGAGAGGACGAUCCGUCACACUGGGACUGAGACACGGCCCAGACUCCUACGGGAGGCAGCAGUGGGGAAUUUUGGACAAUGGGGGCAACCCUGAUCCAGCAACGCCGCGUGAAUGAAGAAGGCCUUAGGGUUGUAAAGUUCUUUUGUCAGGGAAGAAAGUUUCUGUGCUAAUACCAUAGAACGAUGACGGUACCUGAAGAAUAAGCACCGGCUAACUACGUGCCAGCAGCCGCGGUAAUACGUAGGGUGCAAGCGUUAAUCGGAAUUACUGGGCGUAAAGCGUGCGCAGGCGGAUAUGUAAGUUAGAAGUGAAAUCCCCGGGCUCAACCUGGGAACUGCUUUUAAGACUGCGUAUCUAGAGUUUGUCAGAGGGGGGUGGAAUUCCAAGUGUAGCAGUGAAAUGCGUAGAGAUUUGGAGGAACACCGAUGGCGAAGGCAGCCCCCUGGGAUAAAACUGACGCUCAUGCACGAAAGCGUGGGUAGCAAACAGGAUUAGAUACCCUGGUAGUCCACGCCCUAAACGAUGUCUACUUGCUGUUGGGGGUAACCUUAGUAGCGAAGCUAACGCGAGAAGUAGACCGCCUGGGGAGUACGGUCGCAAGAUUAAAACUCAAAGGAAUUGACGGGGACCCGCACAAGCGGUGGAUGAUGUGGAUUAAUUCGAUGCAACGCGAAAAACCUUACCU
rnacentral:rRNA from 1 species